CAGUAAGAACCCGCGUUUGGUACAUUCCUCUUCUUCCUGGGUUUGUUUGCAGGGACCGGAGCGGCUCGGGGACAGGCUGGCCUAUCAGCGCCGCCACUGCCGAUACCAAAAACACGAAGUCUAGCCACGGCCGCGCGGCCGGGACAAGCAGGAAGGAAGCAGGCCCCCGUCAGGAACGGAGGGGUGAAGUUUCACUCGAGGUAACUUUCCAGUCAUUUCGGAGCAAAGUGUCAGGACUUCAAAGGACCCGGGCGAAUUCAUAGACACAUUUCAGAGAUGUUUUGGAUGGACGGCAUUCCUGGAUGCUUCCUCACCAAGUUCAGAGGAUUAACCAAAAACUAUCGAACGGAAUUGGCAGAACGGAAACUUGGCCGAAGGAUGGGACACGGGCCGAGAAAGAAGCCAUUCAAUUUGGUCAUGGACCCGGACAGAGGGGAGGCUUUCUUUAACAUUGAGGAAAACAUACACAGCACAGUUGACGAUUGAUGAAAUUAUGAUAUGUGAGCCAGCGUGCACCACAGCAGCUCGCUGGAACUGGCUCGGCUGCUUGGAAUCCAAUCAUCCUCAACGUUAUAUAUCCACACCUUUGCUUCUCCUGCCGUGACGUGACAAAAUUUCAGCUGUGAAAUUAGUCUGUUGAACUCUAUUUCUUCUCUUUUCCUCCAAUUUACUCUUUGUUAAUGAUUAUUAAAACUGUUGAAUGUC